rnacentral:rRNA from 1 species
AACAUGAGAGUUUGAUCCUGGCUCAGGAUGAACGCUGGCGGCGUGCCUAACACAUGCAAGUCGAACGAAGCGCCUCGAUUCCUUCGGGAUGAUGGGUGACUGAGUGGCGGACGGGUGAGUAACGCGUGGGUAACCUGCCUCACACAGGGGGAUAACAGCUGGAAACGGCU